rnacentral:lncRNA from 1 species
UGACUGAUACUUGCCAGGCCUCUCCAUUUCCCACAGAAAUCAGAAGGCCUGUUACUUACAGGGGCUUUAGUUUCCAAUCAAAAUCACAAUUUCAUCUGCUAUAUACCUUAUUAGGUUUCCUGGUGGAUUUUCUUGAGUUAGAGCCAAAUUUCAAUUAGCCAUGAUUAUGGAGGUCAGGGAGAACAUGGGUAAUUAACGUCCACAAGUAAGGAAAAGACUGACUUUAACCAGAAACUCCAACACUCUCCCCUGAAACUCGUUGCUAACGUUGCAAACACUUGAUGUGUUUUCUCAUUUUGUUUCAUGAACAAGAACAUGGCCCUCUCAGCUUAUAGCCGUCCCAACAACACUUCUUCAUAUUUAGGAUAAAGUCCAAAUUCUGAUGUCCAUGGCCCCCAAUCCUGCCCGCUUCCUGCUCUUUCCUUUGACCUGCCUCUCAAGGUUCUGUGCUCUGCCUGCUUAUAAGAGAAGCAGCUGGAACCAGAUAGCAGCAUCAUUGAGAAUGCAUGAGGUUCCUGAAAGUGUCUGAGGGACUCAAGUUCAUAUUUAAAGUAAAGCAAUAAUAGUAACCCCUUCUUGGGUUGGAAUUUUCAGAAGAAUGCUAACCAAUAGCUUCAAAGUGAAUCAAAAUCUGGGGCUGUUGGGUGAAUGUUAAUGGAGAUGGCUAGGUGACCAUAUGUUGCUGUUAGUGAUGUGUCUGGCCUUACAACAUUUGUGGAGCCACAGUAGAAAGCACCACCCGACUGCACUGAGGGCUAAGAUCAUGUGCAUGGCUGACAAAGAGAAAAAUAUAAUGUGUUUAAGGGAGGCAAAUCCAAACUGUAGAUAAUCUUGCCUGCAGAAUGAUAAAUAAAAGCGAUCAACCU